AUCGCUUCUCGGCCUUUUGGGUAAGAUCAAGUGUAAUAUCUGUUUUUAUCAGUUUAAUAUCUGAUACGUCUUCUAUCCGAGGACAAUGUAUUCAACGGGUUUUUGAAGCUAGGAGUUGGACUAGGGGCUCGUUCCGUGCACUCCACGCAUCGCCCCGUUAUUGCAGUACUUCUGGGAACGGUGCACUCUUC